CGCCGUGUGCUGCCGUGGCUCGCAGGAGACCAGGACUAACUGCAGAGGUUCUGGUCCCAUGAAUGUGUCAGGAUAUAUCUGAAGAAGGGAUAUGCCCUAGUAACAGAGAGAGAAAAGUCCAAACCCAUAGCUCUCAACUCUAAUGAAGGCUUAAGAGAAGGCAGUAAUGGUGUCGUCUCAGGUCAUUCUGGGACAGAGGAAUCCAGAAGAUCACUGAGAGAGUUACCUCUCAUCUCACUGAGGAGUGCAAAGACCAAGGAAUUUAGGACUGACGUCCUUCCCAGCCUGAAAUGACACCGUUACACAGCUGGGACUGAUUGAGAUGCCCGAAGAGUGGGAGAGAGGGGGGCUGAGUCACAUGAGCUAAGUGUCCUGAGGCAACUGACUCAACAAAAGAGAAUAAGCCGAGAGAGCUCUAGCUCAAAUAGUUUUAUUCACUAUAUUCUAAAAUACUUAUGCAACAUAUUUGUAUGUUGUCUAAUAUAUACAUGCC